AUCUAACGCGCGCGUGUGCAACAUGAAACGUGGGUGUCAUCUCCGUAUCCGACGUGCUCUUUCUCAAAUGGCAAUAGAAAUCGGCUGCUAUGACAACAGAGCGAGGAUCUCAGCCUGUCUAGCUAUCAACCUCGUCUCUUCAAUAUCUAUAGUAUUUACCAACAAAUGGAUUUAUGUUCAUUACGGAUUUCCCAAUAUUUCUCUCACUUGCAUUCAUUUUCUGACGACGUAUUUGGGAUUGCUGAUUUGCUCUGUUGCUGGUGUGUUCUCUCCGAAGAAAUUGAGAGUUCUUGAUGUGUUUCCUUUGUCUCUGACUUUUUGUGGCUUUGUGGUGUUCACUAAUCUGUCACUGCAGUACAACACUGUAGGGACGUAUCAGUUGGCUAAAGUGAUGACGACGCCGUGUGUUAUGUUUAUCCAUAUAUAUUUUUAUGGCAGGAAGUACUCUCAUAGAGUCAAGAUGACAAUGAUUCCUAUCUUUCUUGGAGUUUUUUUGAACUCUUAUUAUGAUGUGAGAUUCAACACUUUGGGAACAACAUUUGCUAUUGUCGGUGUUUUAGUCACAUCUCUAUAUCAAGUGUGGAUAAGCACGAAGCAAGAAGAGUUGGAAGUCAAUUCCAUGCAACUGCUGUAUUACCAGGCACCUCUUUCAGCUUUUCUACUGGGGUGUGUGAUACCAUUCUUUGAGCCGUUGUCUGGGGAUAAGGGUGUGUUUGGGGUUUGGUCACUACAGGCGAUAGCAGCUGUGGCUGUGUCUGCUGUUAUUGCAUUUUCUGUCAACUUGUCUAUAUAUUUCAUCAUUGGCAAGACAUCACCAGUAACAUAUAACAUGUUUGGUCAUUUGAAAUUUUCUAUUACUCUUCUGGGCGGCUAUUUCAUCUUCAAAGAUCCUCUCUCUAGCAAACAGUUGCUUGGAAUUUUGCUAACUGUGUGUGGUAUCGUUGCUUAUACACAUAUCCGAAUGAGUGAACAACAAAAGGCAAAAAAAGAUGUGCAAGUAAAAACUUUAGACGUAACUGGGAAGAAGAGGACAGAUGAUGUAUAGAUUGAGAUUCAUUUUUGCUAAAGAUAACUCAGAUUUGGUGGUUUGCUUAGCUUGUAUAUACCUUGACGGUAAGACUUAGUAACUAUCUGCCUAUCUGCAUUGAUAUGAAACCAGACGAGCAAGUGGACAGGCUUGAUGGUCAGUUUCCAUCCUAGGAGAGAGAGGUCUUUCUUCUCGUAGGGGAAAAAUGGUUGGACCUGGCAUUGAGCCUGUGAUUUGUGUAGAUUGUGAAACUAACAUUAAUAUCCAAUGGUCUCAAGAAUUUUGUUCAAAAUCUCUAGUCUGGUGAAAUUUGUAUUGCUUGUGAUGUCAUCUUUAACCAUGAUGAGGAUUUGCAGCAUUUCUAUAUACACAUUAUUAAGCUUGCUAGAUUCAUACGAUCUAGUUUAGUCAGAAUUCGAUGAGUUACU